rnacentral:lncRNA from 1 species
CUGCAAAUGGCUUUUUGAUGAACCCCAUGUGUGCAGUGUUGCUCCCCAAGGUCCCAAGUUUCUCUGGAGAACAUCCCCACUCAGCCAGGAGGAGGCGCUCUGUCCAGGUUUGGAGAGGUGAAAACAUUUCCCAGUGGAAAACCAAAUAGAAAUGCGCCAGUAACCUCUCUGUGCCUACUCGGGCUUGGGAGCCUGCCUGAUU